CUCAGUUCAGCACUCGUUCCACAGUGCAACAGUGUGAACAAUUGACUAUGUACGUCUCACUCAUAUUCAAAUAUAGAUUUGCAUUGUAAGACGAGGAGUAGCAUGUAAGUAGCGUAUGCUAAAAGCUUUGUUGAUUUAUCUAAAUCUGUUGGGUGUGUAUUGUAUGCUUGUCACAAGAAUUAUAAGUACUUACCUACUCACCUUAGAUUGCCAUGGUCUAGUUCCUAUGACUCCUAUCUAGUCGAACUUUCUGGGUUGACCAGCAGUUUGUCUUUCUCUUCCAACCAACACCCAGAGGUGGAGAGAAUGAGCCAGAAAGAGGGUCUGAGGGCCAACUCCUUUCAGUUCACUCUGGAGGGAGAGCCCUUUCACAUCCUGGGGGGUUCUAUCCACUACUUCCGCGUCCCCAGAGCCUACUGGGAGGACCGGCUGCUGAAGAUGAGGGCCUGUGGGGUCAACACUCUCACCACAUAGGGACACACAGAACACCUCAUGUUCUCUUAUACCGACACUCACUGCUGCUCUACUAUGGAGAGAAACUGAGAAUGACUGCUUUAUCUUUCAGAUAUGUGCCAUGGAACCUUCAUGAGCAAAAGAGAGGGGUUUUAAAGGCGUACACCAGCCUAGCAGCAGAGUUGGGUUUAUUCUGCGGGCAGGACCAUACAUCUGUGCUGAGUGGGACUUAGAAGGGAUGCCCAGUUGGUUGCUGUGUGAUCCAGACAUGAAGUUGAGAACAACCUACCCAGAUUUCACAGAAGCAGUUGAUUCCUUCUUUGAUCAACUCAUUCCAAGAGUUGCACCAUAUCAGGUCAUCCUUUCUCACUUUCUCACUUUCUCACUACUCUUCUAUUAAUUGCUCUAGGGUUUCCAUUUUUCCUGUUAAUUUGUGAGUGACCACAAUGUGACCGCAUAUGGUUGUUGAUUAUGGCUAUCAAAAUACAAAAAUAUUCUUAAAAUGUGAAGCUUGGUGUUUUAUCAAUCCCAAAGGCUUUGAAAAUAUAUGCUUGACUUAUUCAGGAGUCGUUUGAAAGCUCUGCUCUUAUUUGAUUUAUUAUUUAAAACUCUAAGUACUCCAAGGGGGGCCCAAUUAUAGCAGUUCAAGUGGAGAACGAGUAUGGCUCUUAUGCAAAAGAUGUUGAAUACAUGCCAUACAUAAAAGAGGUAAGAUAGUGCAGUGCAUCUGCUUUAUUACACACACACACACAAACACACACACACACACACACACACACACACACACACACACACACACAUACACACAUACACGCAAGCACACUCUGUGCAUCACUUUAUCUUGAUUUCACUACAACUAUUUGCAUUUGCAAUAGUAGGAUAUCUACUUGGAAAUAUGAGCAUGAUUGAAAUUAGAUCCUUGUUCUAGGCACUGUUGUCCAGAGGGAUCGAGGAGCUCCUCCUGACCUCAGAUAACCAGGAUGGGCUGAAGGACGGAGGAGUGAAUGGAGAAGUCCAAGAUGGUGAUGGAGUAUUGGUCUGGGUGGUUUGACCUCUGGGGUGACCUUCACCAUGUUUUUGCUGCUGAGGAUUACGAUGCUCCAUUAUCUGAGGCAGGGGAUUACACCACCAAGUACACUCUUCUGAGGAAUGUAUUGAGCCGCUACCACAGAGGAACCACCCCUGCACUGCAGAGGAGGAGCCGUGACACCAUGCUGUCCAUUGAAAGUAAGUUAGCUAGAAAGCUGGACUUCAAAGACUUGAUCAGUGACUUUGCUAGCUAGAAGGAUUGUCACUGGGCUCUUGGUGAGUAAGGCUGAGCAAGGGCCAGUGAUAACUGUUAAAUGGCAUGGCUAUGGAUAUUAAAUCACUAUACACUUGAUGCCCACAGGCUGAGAACAAGACUGAGAACAAGAUAUAAUUCAAAGUAAUGGCUGGAUUGCCAUAAAAAUUGUUGUGCACAAUCAAGACCCCGAGUGGAGGAGACCUAUUGAUUUGGUGACCACUUGACCUUUCCUCUAGCGCCACCUUCAGGCCUUUUCAUUUCCAUUUUGUUUUCCAUUUCCACUUUUCCAGCUGCUUAUUUUGUAGUUGGUAUGUAUACUUAGUUCAAAAAUCUGCUGCUGACAUUAUUUUGUUUGUUAUAUCAUUCUAUAGAUGAUAAUGUUAAUUUAUUUUAAUUGAGGAGUUUAAUAUAUAUUUAAGUUAUAUUUAUUUUAAGUUAUUCAUUAAUGUUAAGAGCAUUUUCAUUUCAAGAAUUUUACCAUUACAAUUAGACUGUAAAAGGCCUUUAGCACAUUUCUUAUAGAGGGUAUCAGUCUUGCAUCAAAUAGUGAAUUCCACUGUAUGCAGAAUGUUGCAUGCAUGUCUGCACAGUGUUAUAUUUUCACAGCUCACUGUCAGUAAAUAUCAAACAGUAAAUAUUGGACUACAAAAGAGUUGCAAGCCUGCAAAGGUAGUUAUUUAAAGCUUUGAAUGGGUUGAUUGGGUUCUGGAGGUGUGUUGUUACAGCAAUUGCGCAGGGUUGGUGUGGCCUGUUGUGGUGGGGCUCAACGUGAUAUCUUUUCAAGGGGCCCAAAAUCCCUGGCGGCGCCCCUGCUCAGGUGAGAAGCUUCCUGAGGUUCCCUCUCUCCAGGCCAGGAGAGUGUAUGAGCCUGUCAUCAUUCAGCAGCAUCUGUCACUAUGGGAGAGCCUGCAGUUUACUGAGCCCUUGAAGUCAGAAACCAGUCAACAUGGAGAACCUUCCUGUCAACAAUAACAAUGGUCAGUCCUAUGACUACACUUGAUAUGAGACCACCAUCAGCAGCGGAGGCCUUCUGAACCUCAGGAACAAUGUUCGAGACAGAGCCCUGGUGAGUACAGACACACAGCUACAUUAAAUUAUUACAUCAUGUAAUUAUGUCAUGAUAUUAGAAAAUGUCAAGUACCCUAUGAUGCACACAUUGUCAGUAAAUUAUUUAUACUAAUAAACUUGUCUUGUCUUCUAGGUGUUUGUCGACUAACUCUUUGUUGGAGUUCUGACUAUAAGAUGCUGGAGUUUGCACUGCCUGAUGGGAAGGUGUAGUGAUAGUGUGUUUCGGGCGACAGGUAGUCUAGUGGUUAUAGUGUUGGGCCAGUAACCGAAAGGUCACUGGUUUCGAAUACCUGAGCUGACAAGGUGAAAAAUCUGAUGUGCCCUUGAGCAAGGCAAUUAUCCCUAAUUUGCUCAAGGGGCACCGUACUACUAUGGCUGUCUCUGUAAAACAACACAUUUCACUGCCGCUAUCCGGUGUAUAUGUGACAAUAACACAUUAUUUUGUUCUAUUCAGUCUAUAGGUGUGCUGCUGAGUUGCUUUCUAAACUGGCUAGUUUAUAUUCAACACCACAUGAUAGAGGGGAAAGCUUCUGGUGAUGCUGAUAAAUGCGUUUGUUACUAAGGUGCCAGGAUUAAGCCAACAGAAAGUUUUCAGACAAAUGUUGUUCUAACAAAGAGGAAUCGCAAUCACUAACUUUGCACCUGCCUGUUAUUGGAAAACAAGUCCAUGCUGCUUACCCUAUCGCACAGCAGCAGAUUGGACUUGAUCAAUUAUUAUCUUCAGUUCAACUGAAAGCCACGUUUCCUCUAUUGUCUCUAGUUAGUCUACUUUGCAUUGUGGACUGUAGAUAGUACGUCCAAUUGUUUCCACAUCUUUUAUGUACUUUCCAUUGAAGGGGGAGAGGACAUUGAGUUUACUUGUGGAGAACUCUGGGAGAGUGAACUGUGGUAAACUCCUAGAUUAACAGCGUAAAGGUAAUUCGAUAGUUUUACCUACUGUAUCUGGGUCAGUGAUAGCCUUGUGGUUGUAUAACUAGACACAUCUAUUGGUAAAUCCUUUCAGAAUAGGUGCUCAAAAGCAGCUAAUUAACCACUGAAUGUAGAAAAUCAAAGACCGCCUUAUUUCAGCCUUGGCUUAUUUUUCAGGUCUUGUCGGAGACAUUGAGUGGGACAAUACCCCGCUACGAGGCUUUAUCAUUCAUAGUCUGGCUUUGUAAAUAGACUGAGUGCAGCAAGCCAGUGGAACUCUGUCUCCCAGAGGCCUUCCUUCCCGGGGUUUUGGAAGGGCAUGCUGUAUGUGGGCGGCCAUCCCAGAGACACCUUCAUCAGACUGCCUGGCUGGAGUAAAGGAGUGGUCUUUAUCAACGGGCAGAAUCUUUGACUCCACUGGUCCAUCGGUCCCCAGCAAACCCUCUACCUCCCUGGACCUUGGCUUAACUGAGGAAACAAUCAGAUACUGAUGCCGUAACUGUUACUGCCUUUCUGUCUAACUAGUUCUCUGGAAAAACACCCCACACAGGAUUUCACUCAGAUGCCUCUGUGUUAGUAGUUAGUCAAUAGUUUUGAUAUACAGCUACAGCGGCUGGGCCACCCCGUGGGUUUGAUGAUAUUGAACUUGGUAGUGCUUUGCGGGAAUAGUCCUCAGGCGACUUCUCUUCCCUCUGAACGUGUUGGUUCCACGCCUCGGCUGUAUUGACCUCUGCUGUGUUUCAAAGCCUUUUGUUGAUCUCAGGUCAUUGUGUUUGAGGAGCAAGAAGCUGAUGGUAAAAUCCAAUUCGCCAGCAAGCCUGACCUUGGAAUGACUGUUGACGUAUAGUGAGGAUGGCCUAGUGGAAUGGAGGUAUGGUUAGGAGUUCCAUCCUCUCACAUUUUCACACUCUGCCUGCCAUCAGGGACCUAGCUAGAUAGCUACUCAGAAUCGAUGCACAUCACUGCACAUGGCAUUUAUUUCCUGUCGGGAAACCCCACCCUCUGAAUGAUCCAGACUAAUAAAGCAUUCUACUAGAGCUUGUAAAUGUAACUGUGCCUUCAUUAUAUAUGAUGGGCCACUGCAAUAUCUGUACUGCAAUAUCUGUUUUUUACUUGUUGUUUGUGCAUUACCAUUCCAUAUGUGUAUUGUGAGAAUUGUGUCAGAGAUACUCAUUUGGAGAUUUAAGGUAUUUUAAUGAAUAGGUUUUUGUCCGGAUUCAAGGACACAUCUACUUGACACUGUAUUUCUUUGAAUGGACAAUUAAAACAAAUACACAGAUUGUUCUUUUGAGAUUAACCAAUGAUGUGUGAUGGUGAAUUAAACUGAACCAUCAGUGCAGUGGAUACUCUCAAAUACAAAGACAUUUGUCAAGUA